UACGGAGGGGGCUAGCGUUGUUCGGAAUUACUGGGCGUAAAGCGUACGUAGGCGGCUUUGUAAGUUAGAGGUGAAAGCCCGGAGCUCAACUUCGGAAUAGCCUUUAAGACUGCAUCGCUUGAACGUCGGAGAGGUGAGUGGAAUUCCGAGUGUAGAGGUGAAAUUCGUAGAUAUUCGGAAGAACACCAGUGGCGAAAGGCGGCUCACUGGACGACUGUUGACGCUGAGGAGCGAAAGCGUGGGGAGCAAACAGG
rnacentral:rRNA from 1 species